CACUGCCGAGAAAAGCCUCUAGAUAGAAAAUAGGUGCCCGUACCGCAAACCGACACAGGUAGUCAAGAUGAGAAUUCUAAGGUGAGCGAGCGAACUCUCGUUAAGGAACUCGGCAAAAUGACCCCGUAACUUCGGGAGAAGGGGUGCUCUUUAGGGUUAACGCCCAGAAGAGCCGCAGUGAAUAGGCCCAAGCGACUGUUUAUCAAAAACACAGGUCUCUGCUAAACCGUAAGGUGAUGUAUAGGGGCUGACGCCUGCCCGGUGCUGGAAGGUUAAGAGGAGUGGUUAGCUUCUGCGAAGCUACGAAUCGAAGCCCCAGUAAACGGCGGCCGUAACUAUAACGGUCCUAAGGUAGCGAAAUUCCUUGUCGGGUAAGUUCCGACCCGCACGAAAGGCGUAACGAUUUGGGCACUGUCUCAACGAGAGACUCGGUGAAAUCAUAGUACCUGUGAAGAUGCAGGUUACCCGCGACAGGACGGAAAGACCCCGUGGAGCUUUACUGUAGCCUGAUAUUGAAAUUCGGCACAGCUUGUACAGGAUAGGUAGGAGCCUUUGAAACGUGAGCGCUAGCUUACGUGGAGGCGCUGGUGGGAUACUACCCUAGCUGUGUUGGCUUUCUAACCCGCACCAC
rnacentral:rRNA from 1 species